rnacentral:rRNA from 1 species
GUGAGGAAUAUUGGUCAAUGGGCGCGAGCCUGAACCAGCCAAGUAGCGUGAGGGAUGACUGCCCUAUGGGUUGUAAACCUCUUUUGCAGGGGGGUAAAGUGGUUCACGUGUGGACCAUUGCAAGUACCCUGCGAAUAAGGAUCGGCUAACUCCGUGCCAGCAGCCGCGGUAAUACGGAGGAUCCGAGCGUUAUCCGGAUUUAUUGGGUUUAAAGGGAGCGUAGGCGGGGGUUUAAGUCAGAUGUGAAAUGCCGUGGCCCAACCAUGGAACUGCAGUUGAGACUGGACCGCUUGAGAGUACAUAAGGAAGGCGGAAUUCGUGGUGUAGCGGUGAAAUGCAUAGAUAUCACGAAGAACUCCGAUUGCGAAGGCAGCUUUCCGGGGUACAUCUGACGCUGAAGCUCGAAAGUGCGGGAAUCAAACAGGAUUAGAAACCCUGGUAGUCC